CCUACGGGAGGCAGCAGUGGGGGAUAUUGCACAAUGGGGGGAACCCUGAUGCAGCGACGCCGCGUGGGUGAAGAAGCGCCUCGGCGCGUAAAGCCCUGUCAGCAGGGAAGAAAAUGCCGGUACCUGAAGAAGACGCCCCGGCUAACUACGUGCCAGCAGCCGCGGUCAUACGUAGGGGGCCAGCGUUAUCAGGAUUUACUGGGUGUAAAGGGGGCGCAGACGGCGAUGCAAGCCAGGUGUGAAAGCCCGGGGCCCAACCCCGGGACUGCUCUUGGAAAUGCGUGGCUGGAGUGCAGGAGGGGCAGGCGAAAGGCCUGGGUUAGCGGUGAAAUGCGUAGAUAUCAGGAGGAACACCGGUGGCGAGGGCGGCCUGCGGGACUGCAACUGACGUUGAGGCCCGAAAGCGUGGGGAGCAAACAGGAUUAGAUACCCUAGUAGC
rnacentral:rRNA from 1 species